UACGGAGGGGGCAAGCGUUGUCCGGAUUGACUGGGCGUAAAGCGCACGCAGGCGGAUGCGCGCGUGGGGUGUGAAAUCUGGCCGCUUAACGGCCAGGCGCCAUCCCAUACGGCGCGUCUGGAGUGAUGCAGAGGUCGAUGGAAUUGCCGGUGUAGUGGUGAAAUGCGUAGAGAUCGGCAGGAACACCCAGGGGGAAACCAGUCGACUGGGCAUCUACUGACGCUGAGGUGCGAGAGCGUGGGGAGCGAACCGG
rnacentral:rRNA from 1 species